rnacentral:rRNA from 1 species
UGGGGAAUAUUGCACAAUGGGCGAAAGCCUGAUGCAGCAACGCCGCGUGAGUGAUGAAGGUCUUCGGAUUGUAAAGCUCUGUCUUUUGGGACGAUAAUGACGGUACCAAAGGAGGAAGCCACGGCUAACUACGUGCCAGCAGCCGCGGUAAUACGUAGGUGGCGAGCGUUGUCCGGAUUUACUGGGCGUAAAGGGUGCGUAGGCGGAUGUUUAAGUGAGAUGUGAAAUACCCGGGCUUAACUUGGGUGCUGCAUUUCAAACUGGAUAUCUAGAGUGCAGGAGAGGAGAAUGGAAUUCCUAGUGUAGCGGUGAAAUGCGUAGAGAUUAGGAAGAACACCAGUGGCGAAGGCGAUUCUCUGGACUGUAACUGACGCUGAGGCACGAAAGCGUGGGUAGCAAACAGGAUUAGAUACCCUGGUAGUCCACGCCGUAAACGAUGAGUACUAGGUGUAGGAGGUAUCGACCCCUUCUGUGCCGCAGUAAACACAUUAAGUACUCCGCCUGGUAAGUACGAUCGCAAGAUUAAAACUCUAAAGUGAAUUGACGGGGUC